GCAGCAGUAGGGAUCUUCCGCAAUGGACGAAAGUCUGACGGAGCAACGCCGCGUGAGUGAUGAAGGUUUUCGGAUCGUAAAACUCUGUUAUUAGGGAAGAACAAAUGUGUAAGUAACUGUGCACAUCUUGACGGUACCUAAUCAGAAAGCCACGGCUAACUACGUGCCAGCAGCCGCGGUAAUACGUAGGUGGCAAGCGUUAUCCGGAAUUAUUGGGCGUAAAGCGCGCGUAGGCGGUUUCUUAAGUCUGAUGUGAAAGCCCACGGCUCAACCGUGGAGGGUCAUUGGAAACUGGGAAACUUGAGUACAGAAGAGGAAAGUGGAAUUCCAUGUGUAGCGGUGAAAUGCGCAGAGAUAUGGAGGAACACCAGUGGCGAAGGCGACUUUCUGGUCUGUAACUGACGCUGAUGUGCGAAAGCGUGGGGAUCAAACAGGAUUAGAUACCCUGGUAGUCCACGCCGUAAACGAUGAGUGCUAAGUGUUAGGGGGUUUCCGCCCCUUAGUGCUGCAGCUAACGCAUUAAGCACUCCGCCUGGGGAGUACGACCGCAAGGUUGAAACUCAAAGGAAUUGACGGGGCCUGU
rnacentral:rRNA from 1 species